CGAUGGCGUCAGGAUGAACGCUAGCGACAGGCCUAACACAUGCAAGUCAGGGGCAGCACAAGGAGCAAUCUGAGGUGGCGACCGGCGCACGGGUGAGUAACACGUAUGCAACCUGCCUGUAAGCGGGGAAUAACCCGUUGAAAGACGGACUAAUACCGCAUAAUACUAAAUUACUGCAUGGUAAUUUAUUUAAACAUUUAUGGCUUACAGAUGGGCAUGCGCAUGAUUAGCUAGUUGGAGAGGUAACGGCUCCCCAAGGCAACGAUCAUUAGGGGUUCUGAGAGGAAGGUCCCCCACACUGGUACUGAGACACGGACCAGACUCCUACGGGAGGCAGCAGUGAGGAAUAUUGGUCAAUGGACGAGAGUCUGAACCAGCCAAGUCGCGUGCAGGAAGAAAUGUCCUAUGGAUUGUAAACUGCUUUUGCAGGGGAAUAAAGUGCAUCACGUGUGAUGUUUUGUAUGUACUCUGCGAAUAGGGAUCGGCUAACUCCGUGCCAGCCGCGGC
rnacentral:rRNA from 1 species